rnacentral:rRNA from 1 species
GAUGAACGCUGGCGGCAGGCUUAACACAUGCAAGUCGAGCGGGGAAGGGUAGCUUGCUACCUGACCUAGCGGCGGACGGGUGAGUAAUGCUUAGGAAUCUGCCUAUUAGUGGGGGACAACAUUCCGAAAGGAAUACUAAUACCGCAUACGCCCUACGGGGGAAAGCAGGGGAUCUUCGGACCUUGCGCUAAUAGAUGAGCCUAAGUCGGAUUAGCUAGUUGGUGGGGUAAAGGCCUACCAAGGCGACGAUCUGUAGCGGGUCUGAGAGGAUGAUCCGCCACACUGGGACUGAGACACGGCCCAGACUCCUACGGGAGGCAGCAGUGGGGAAUAUUGGACAAUGGGGGGAACCCUGAUCCAGCCAUGCCGCGUGUGUGAAGAAGGCCUUUUGGUUGUAAAGCACUUUAAGCGAGGAGGAGGCUACCGAGAUUAAUACUCUUGGAUAGUGGACGUUACUCGCAGAAUAAGCACCGGCUAACUCUGUGCCAGCCGCCGCCGUAAAAC